UGCCAGCCGCCGCGGUAAUACGGAGGGUGCAAGCGUUAUCCGGAAUCACUGGGUUUAAAGGGUGCGUAGGCGGCAUUAUAAGUCGGAGGUGAAAGCCUACCGCUUAACGGUAGAACUGCCUUUGAUACUGUAGUGCUUGAAUUAGGCUGAGGUUAGCGGAAUGUGACAUGUAGCGGUGAAAUGCAUAGAUAUGUCAUAGAACACCAAUUGCGAAGGCAGCUAGCUAGACCUAUAUUGACGCUGAGGCACGAAAGCGUGGGGAGCGAACAGGAUUAGAUA
rnacentral:rRNA from 1 species